UGGAGGCAGCAGUGGGGAAUAUUGGGCAAUGGGCGGAAGCCUGACCCAGCCACGCCGCGUGAGUGAUGAAGGCCUUCGGGUUGUAAAGCUCUGUGGGGAGGGACGAAAAACCAUGACCUAAUACGUCCUGGGUUGACGGUACCUCCUUAGCAAGCACCGGCUAACACUGUGCCAGCAGCCGCGGUAAGACAGAGGGUGCAAACGUUGCUCGGAUUUACUGGGCGUAAAGCGCAUGUAGGCGGAGAGAUGUGUCGGGUGUGAAAUCCCUGGGCUCAACCUAGGAACUGCAUCCGAAACUAUCUUUCUAGAGUAGUGGAGAGGAAAGCGGAAUUCCGGGUGUAGAGGUGAAAUUCGUAGAUAUCCGGAGGAACACCAGUGGCGAAGGCGGCUUUCUGGACACUAACUGACGCUGAGAUGCGAAAGCGUGGGGAGCAAACAGGAUUAGAUACCCCGGU
rnacentral:rRNA from 1 species